CGCGGCGAGGCGAGGCGGCGGCGGCCGGGCAGCGGCGGGGGAGCGCCCGCCUGGCCGGCACCACAGCGCCCCCAGCCCCCGCCGCUCCGCGCCUGCACGCCGAGCCCGGCCGGCUCCCUGCGCCCCCACACAAAGUCCCAGCACUCGAUGAAAGAGGCUGGAGUUCCUGUCUUCACCCUUUCUCCGCUGCCUCCCUGUUCUACCAGUCUGUUCUGUGUCCAGGCAACUGCAAAGAGACAUUUCAAAGACUCCUGCCGUGCCAUGGAGAUGUUUUCUCUUGUUAGUUUGGACUGCAGGAUCGAGUCCCUUAUUUGCCAUUUUGUGUGGCAGCAAGCCCAAGGAAAUCUUGCUUGACAGCUCUGUUUUCUCAAAGUGCUGUAUUUCUUCGGGCUGGAUUCUGCAAAGAUCCUGCAGGGUACAGAGCUCCUUGGAGCAAGCGAUAAUUUGCUUUGUGUUCCUGCUGAAACAUACCUAUGGGAGAUGGAAGAAGGAUCUUGGAAAAUUUGGUGCACCCUGGCAAGAAGACGGUUGGAAUAAAGUUUCCUUGGAUUAUUAUGUUUUGAGAAAUCAGUCUCAUCUGUUCAUUUGAGGAAGGUUUUCUUAAGGUUAGAUUUGAUCUGUGUAAAUGCUAACUUCUUUCAACAGGCACUAAUAGAGUACUGAAAAAGUAAGUACAGUGUAUUUGAAGUUUAAAUCUAAAAUGAUGGCAGUAACUAAUAGUA